rnacentral:tRNA from 1 species
GGAGCCGUGGUGUAGGGGUUAACAUGCCUGCCUGUCACGCAGGAGAUCGCGGGUUCGAAUCCCGUCGGCUCCG